rnacentral:rRNA from 1 species
UACAGAGGGUGCUAGCGUUGUUCGGAAUCAUUGGGCGUAAAGGGCGUGUAGGCGGUUUGUUAAGUCAUGUGUGAAAUCCCUCGGCUCAACCGGGGAACGACGCAUGAAACUGGCAAGCUAGAGUACCAAAGAGGGGGGUGGAAUUCCCGGUGUAGAGGUGAAAUUCGUAGAUAUCGGGAGGAACACCGGUGGCGAAGGCGGCGACCUGGGUAGAUACUGACGCUGAGGUGCGAAAGCGUGGGGAGCAAACAGG